rnacentral:tRNA from 1 species
AGCAAGAUCAGCUAAAUAAGCUCUUGGGCUCAUAUCCCGAAAAUAUUGGUUAAAACCCUUUUCCUGCUA